rnacentral:rRNA from 1 species
CUUUUGACCUCGGAUCAGGUAGGGAUACCCGCUGAACUUAAGCAUAUCAAUAAGCGGAGGAAAAGAAACCAACAGGGAUUGCCCUAGUAACGGCGAGUGAAGCGGCAACAGCUCAAAUUUGAAAUCUGGCUCUUUCAGAGUCCGAGUUGUAAUUUGCAGAGGGCGCUUUGGCGUUGGCAGCGGUCCAAGUUCUUUGGAACAGGACGUCACAGAGGGUGAGAAUCCCGUACGUGGUCGCUAGCCUUCGCCGUGUAAAGCCCCUUCGACGAGUCGAGUUGUUUGGGAAUGCAGCUCUAAAUGGGAGGUAAAUUUCUUCUAAAGCUAAAUACUGGCCAGAGACCGAUAGCGCACAAGUAGAGUGAUCGAAAGAUGAAAAGCACUUUGGAAAGAGAGUCAAAUAGCACGUGAAAUUGUUGAAAGGGAAGCGCUUGCAGCCAGACUUGCCUGUAGUUGCUUAUCCGGACUUUUGUCCGGUGCACUCUUCUGCGGGCAGGCCAGCAUCAGUUUGGGCGGUUGGAUAAAGGUCUCUGUCAUGUACCUCCUUUCGGGGAGGCCUUAUAGGGGAGACGACAUGCAACCAGCCUGGACUGAGGUCCGCGCAUCUGCUAGGAUGCUGGCGUAAUGGCUGUAAGCGGCCCGUCUUGAAACACGGACCAAGGAGUCUAACAUCUAUGCGAGUGUUUGGGUGUCAAGCCCAGACGCGUAAUGAAAGUGAACGGAGGUGGGAACCUUUUAGGUGCACCAUCGACCGAUCCUGAUGUCUUCGGAAGGAUUUGAGUAAGAGCAUGGCUGUUGGGACCCGAAAGAUGGUGAACUAUGCUUGAAUAGGGUGAAGCCAGAGGAAACUCUGGUGGAGGCUCGCAGCGGUUCUGACGUGCAAAUCGAUCGUCAAAUUUGGGCAUAGGGGCGAAAGACUAAUCGAACUAUCUAGUAGCUGGUUCCUGCCGAAGUUUCCCUCAGGAUAGCAGUAACGUAUUCAGUUUUAUGA